AUUCAUUCUGGCAUUUAAUUGGCUUAGAUCAAGUGUAGUAUCUGUUCUUAUCAGUGUAACUAGAGUUCAGCGGCGGCUACACCACCCUCUCCAAGACCCAAGUCAAGCCAUCUUGUAUAAGUUUUAUUACUCCAGUAUAAAUUAAUUAAGUAAAUACAACUUUC
rnacentral:snRNA from 1 species